GUGGGGAAUAUUGGACAAUGGGGGGAACCCUGAUCCAGCCAUGCCGCGUGUGUGAAGAAGGCCUUUUGGUUGUAAAGCACUUUAAGCGAGGAGGAGGCUACCGAGAUUAAUACUCUUGGAUAGUGGACGGUACUCGCAGAAUAAGCACCGGCUAACUCUGUGCCAGCAGCCGCGGUAAUACAGAGGGUGCAAGCGUUAAUCGGAUUUACUGGGCGUAAAGCGCGCGUAGGUGGCCAAUUAAGUCAAAUGUGAAAUUCCCGAGCGUAACUUGGGAAUUGCAUUCGAUACUGGUUGGCUAGAGUAUGGGAGAGGAUGGUAGAAUUCCAGGUGUAGCGGUGAAAUGCGUAGAGAUCUGGAGGAAUACCGAUGGCGAAGGCAGCCAUCUGGCCUAAUACUGACACUGAGGUGCGAAAGCAUGGGGAGCAAACAGGAUUAGAAACCCCUGUAGUCC
rnacentral:rRNA from 1 species